ACUCUGUGUGACCAGCUCCAGGCUUAUACUGAUGCCUGUCUCAGUGCAGGAGCUCCAGUGCACCAGUGGAGGGAGCCAGACUUCUGCCCUCUGGUUUGUCCGCCUAACAGCCACUACUCUAUGUGUGUGAGUUCAUGCCCAGAGACUUGUGUUGGUGUGAGCGGCCCACCUGGCUGUGGACAGAAGUGUGUUGAAGGCUGCAGGUGUGACCCUGGCUUUGUCCUGAGCCACAACAAGUGUGUUCCUCUCAAAGACUGUGGCUGUGUGGACCCUGCUGGCUCCUACCACCCUGUGAAUGAGAGUUGGUACCUGGAAGGCUGUGAACAUCAGUGUGUGUGUGUAAGUGGAAGAAGAACCAUUCUGUGCUACAACACCAGUUGUUUACCUACAGAGAGCUGCCAGCUGCUGGAGGGAGAGUACAUC